GAUGAACGCUGGCGGCGUGCCUAAUACAUGCAAGUCGAGCGAAUGGAUUAAGAGCUUGCUCUUAUGAAGUUAGCGGCGGACGGGUGAGUAACACGUGGGUAACCUGCCCAUAAGACUGGGAUAACUCCGGGAAACCGGGGCUAAUACCGGAUAACAUUUUGAACCGCAUGGUUCGAAAUUGAAAGGCGGCUUCGGCUGUCACUUAUGGAUGGACCCGCGUCGCAUUAGCUAGUUGGUGAGGUAACGGCUCACCAAGGCAACGAUGCGUAGCCGACCUGAGAGGGUGAUCGGCCAAACGGGGACUGAGACACGACCCAGACUCCUACGGGAGGCAGCAGUAGGGAAUCGUCCGCAACGGACGAAAGUCUGACGGAGCAACGCCGCGUGAGUGAUGAAGGCUUUCGGGUCGUAAAACUCUGUUGUUAGGGAAGAACAAGUGCUAGUUGAAUAAGCUGGCACCUUGACGGUACCUAACCAGAAAGCCACGGCUAACUACGUGCCAGCCGCCGCAGUAA
rnacentral:rRNA from 1 species